rnacentral:lncRNA from 10 species
GACCUCCUGGCGUUUGGAUUGGAGACUGUGUUCUCUUCGCUGUUUAGUUAGCGAGCAGCUAGGGUGGAGUCGGCCUCAAAGGUUCCGCUCUCAUGUCGGCAAGUGUGAUUUGAAUUUUAAAACACUGAGCUUUGCCGGUGGAAGAGUUCCCAAGUUUAUUCCGACCUACGGAAGCCCAGGAGGACCAGGAUUACCGCUGCCGCUGGAUGCGUCCAGGGCCGGGAUGCGCGACCGUGAGACGCUGCGCUUCCGAAGCCCUCGCAGGCUUCCGGGUGCCAGAGCAGGAGACAUACCCUCUGUCCAGCCUUCCACUCUCAGCCCCCAGUUUUUUUCCUACUUUUGCUUUUCAGGAGUCGUCCAGCAAGACUUGAAAGGAGGAGAAAGGCCUGCUGGACAGGAUGCUAGAGCCUGGCAGUGACCACUUGGGGGCCCUGGGCAUUAAAUAAACUUCUUGGGGCCCGUUUCGUUAUUACACUUGGCUCUAGAUUUGUUGUGCGUUUCAGUGAGAAGUACCUGUAUGUGGUUCAUGUGAGCCUCCUCCUCGCCACUUGUGAAAAAUCCUCCCAGCCUGAACCGAGGGAACUAAAUUGCUUUCCCAGCAAACUGCGGUUUUCCACACUGCUCACGCCCACAAACUGUGUGUUACGAGUUCACAACUUUUUCUUCGUCAAUAAUCCCGCGUAUUACUCUCCCAGCCGUUUCCCAGCGUGUCAUGUGCUGAGAAAUGGUGGGCUUAGCCACGCAAACGUUUACUGAGCAUCUACUAUUUGGUAGGAGCUGUUAGGCACCAUGCUAGCAGUGGAGAUAAAGAUGAGUAAGACAUGGCCUUGCACGUGAGGAGCUCCUUGUCCAAAGAAAACCACAGAGGUAUAUUACAAGAAAACUCUAUUUGUAAAUGUAUGAAAGCAUUUCAUCAAUGCAGCCAACAUUUUCUGAGCAGCUGCAUGUGAUAAAAUGGUGAGGACAGAAGAAUCUAGUAGAGGAAGCAGCUUCAAUACAGUGCCAUAAUAAAAACACUGUACAUGGGGCAUAAUAGAAACACUGUACAUAUAAAGGGCAGUUUAUUCUGCUGCAGUGUGGGAGAGCAGGGAGAGUGGUUUCAGGUGAGUUGAAUACAGGGGUGGAGAGCCAGCUACAUAGGAAGUAAAAUUUGAAUUAGUAGGCACUGUUUAAUAUCUUCGAUGUGUUGGGGUGUUUGUAAAAGGAAUGUAAUAAGAAAUACUCAAGAAAAGAGUGCCAGCCGCGCGCGGUGGCUCACGCCUGUAAUCCCAACACUUUGCGAGGCCGAGGCGGGCGGAUCACAAGGUCAGGCGUUUGAGACCAGCCUGGCCAACAUGGCGAAACCCCGUCUCUACUAAAAAUACAAAAGUUAGCCGGGAAUGGUGGCCGGCACCUGUAAUCCCAGCUACUCUGGAGGCUGAGGCAGGACAAUCACUUGAACCUGGGAGAAGGAGGCUGCAGUGAUCCUGCCACUGCACUCCAGCUUGGGCAACAG